rnacentral:rRNA from 1 species
CUAAGGGGACCGCCCGGACAACGGGGAGGAAGGUGGGGAUGACGUCAAGUCAGCAUGGCCUUUAUGUCCAGGGCUACACACGUGCUACAAUGGUUGGUACAAAGGGUUGCCAAGCCGUGAGGCGGAGCCAAUCUCAAAAAGCCAACCUCAGUUCGGAUUGCAGUCUGCAACUCGACUGCAUGAAGUUGGAAUCGCUAGUAAUCGCUGAUCAGCAGGCAGCGGUGAAUACGUUCCCGGGCCCUU